UUGUGGACUCUGCAGCCAAGUUGAAUUCUGAGUCUUCUGCUGUGAAUGCGCCUGAAGAGGCUAUCUCCUUGGUUACUUGGAGCAUGUGCUAUGAGGGCAGAGAAAACAAAAUAGCUGUGAUAACCACUUCCCUUCAAAUAGAGGAGACAGCUGAGUUCCCCAGAGGGGGCAUCUGAAGCACAGGACAAAAUAAUUUGCGGUGUCACCGAGUCACUGGUCCCAUCCUAGACUAUUUGUUUUUGAAGAGAGGAGAAACAUCUUCACAGACUCUGGAGGGUACACACCUGUGGAGUAGACACCGGGGAAAUUCUUAGACAGCUAUUUCGGCAAGCCUCCUGAGAGAGCUCAUGCAACUCCACCUCCCAUCAUCUAAACAGCCUGCUUCUACUGACAUAGGGUCAGCAUAGGUGUAAGUAAGUUGUUUUUAAAUCUGUGGGUUGGUCCUUGGUUUGGGUACCAACAAUAUAAGUAAAUUUGUUGUAACAA